rnacentral:rRNA from 1 species
CAUGUCUCAGUGCAAGCCGCAUUAAGGUGAAACCGCGAAAGGCUCAUUAAAUCAGUUGUGGUUCCUUAGAUCGUACCCAAGUUACUUGGAUAACUGUGGUAAUUCUAGAGCUAAUACAUGCCGACAGAGUUCCGACCGGCGCGCGGCCGUUCGCGCGGUCGUGCCGUCGGAAGGAACGCUUUUAUUAGAUCAAAACCGGCCCGUCGCGGUCGCGGCUCCGGCCGCGGCCCGAUCGUGGCCCGCACAAAGACCUGGUGACUCUGAAUAACUUCGAGCUGAUCGCACGGUCCUGGUACCGGCGACGCAUCUUUCAAAUGUCUGCCUUAUCAACUGUCGACGGUAGGUUCCAUGCCUACCGUGGUGGUAACGGGUAACGGGGAAUCAGGGUUCGAUUCCGGAGAGGGAGCCUGAGAAACGGCUACCACAUCCAAGGAAGGCAGCAGGCGCGCAAAUUACCCACUCCCGGUACGGGGAGGUAGUGACGAAAAAUAACGAUACGGGACUCAUCCGAGGCCCCGUAAUCGGAAUGAGAACACUUUAAAA